rnacentral:rRNA from 1 species
GGUGAACGCUGGCGGCGUGCUUAAGACAUGCAAGUCGAACGCAGUCUUCGGACUGAGUGGCGCACGGGUGAGUAACACGUAACUGACCUACCCCCAAGUCGCGAAUAACCAGCCGAAAGGAUGGCUAAUACGUGAUGUGAUGAUCCGCUGUGGCGGAUCAUUAAAGACUUGAUCGCUUGGGGAUGGGGUUGCGUUCCAUCAGCUAGUUGGUAAGGUAAAGGCUUACCAAGGCAACGACGGAUAGCCGGCCUGAGAGGGUGGCCGGCCACAGGGGGACUGAGACACGAGUCCCACUCCUACGGGAGGCAGCAGUUAGGAAUCUUCCACAAUGGGCGCAAGCCUGAUGGAGCGACGCCGCGUGAGGGAUGAAGGUUCUCGGAUCGUAAACCUCUGAACCAACGACGAAAGACCCGACAAGGGAGAUGACGGUAGUUGGGUAAUAGCACCGGCUAACUCCGUGCCAGCAGCCGCAGUAAAAC